rnacentral:rRNA from 1 species
AAUGAACGCUGGCGGCAGGCCUAAAACAUGCAAGUUGAACGCCCUAGCAAUAGGGAGUGGCGCACGGGUGCGUAGCACGUGGGAAUAUGCCUUUUGGUACAGAACAACGUUUGGAAACGAACGCUAAUACCGUAUGGUCCCUUCGGGGUAAAGAUUUAUCGCCAAAAGAUUAGCCCGCGGUGGAUUAGCUAGUUGGUGAGGUAAUGGCUCACCAAGGCGACGAUCCAUAGCUGGUCUGAGAGGACGAUCAGCCACACUGGGACUGAGACACGGCCCAGACUCCUACGGGAGGCAGCAGUUAGGAAUAUUGGACAAUGGGCGCAAGCCUGAUCCAGCCAUGCCGCGUGAGUGAUGAAGGCCUUCGGGUUGUAAACUCUUUAGCCGACGAUUAUAAUGACUGUAGUCGGAGAAUAAGCCCCGGCUAACUUCGUGCCAGCAGCCGCGGUAAU